UCACGUCCGCAGGCUACGGCUCCAGGCUGGGCUGGGCGAGUGUCUCUUUGAAAGGCCCACCCUCAAGCAUGACUAGGAGC
rnacentral:pre_miRNA from 1 species